AAUUUCUUUUCUCUCUCCCCUUCCCCGCGUUUUCUCUCUUCUCCCCGAACUGUUGCUCUUUCUCCCUCUCGCCUGCAACUCCGGCCUUCUUCCUCCUCCGGCCACCUGACGACGAAAAGCAAGUAUCUUUGGACUCGUCUCCGCUCCCUCUAGGUGCCUGUGGUGGUGUUUUGCGGUGGCUCGGCCCAAUGAGCUCGGAUUUGAGCUGUGAAGUUCACUGUAGCAAUCCGGAAGUUUCGUCGAUUUCCGGCGAUUCCGGCCAUCUCCGGCCACCAAACCGGCGUCGAAGGAGCGGUUUUUCCCAAGGAUCAUGUUGCCCCUAGCCUUGAGCCACGAUUUGCAGUGUGGAGGUCGAAUCGAAUGUUUGAAAUUCCGAGUUACUAUUCACAAUUCGGGUUCAAACUUCUCUUUAAUUGUUGAGGAUGUCGUACCGGGCUCUGGCUCGAUAAAGGAACUCGUAUACGUGACCGUCGGAAUAGUACUUGUACAGGUGAAAUUAGUUGAGGUCGGGCGUACAUGGUGUCGAGGCAUAGUCAACAGCAUGGCUUCCGCGUUUGCCUUUGAAUUAGGUUUUCCUCAUUUACCUUUCUAUUAGAAUUGCUCUGAUUACCUGAGGAAUUAAGGUUAUUAAGCUGAGAUUUGUGUGUUGUGAAUUUGGUUGACGUUGAUUUGGGGAGCAGGGUGGCUCCAGGAGAAUAAGGAUGGGUGAUUUAGAAGUGUAAAUUUUCUUUCUACAGGUUUUGGG